rnacentral:rRNA from 1 species
AGAGACAGCAGCCGCCGCGGGAAAACGUAGGUGGCAAGCGUUGUCCGGAAUUAUUGGGCGUAAAGGGCUCGCAGGCGGUUUCUUAAGUCUGAUGUGAAAGCCCCCGGCUCAACCGGGGAGGGUCAUUGGAAACUGGGAAACUUGAGUGCAGAAGAGGAGAGUGGAAUUCCACGUGUAGCGGUGAAAUGCGUAGAGAUGUGGAGGAACACCAGUGGCGAAGGCGACUCUCUGGUCUGUAACUGACGCUGAGGAGCGAAAGCGUGGGGAGCGAACAGGAUUAGAUACCCCAGUAGUCCCUGUCUCUUAUAC